AAACAGCAGGCAUGAGUCAGUUUAUACAUUCAUCUGAUCACUAGAGGGAGUGGAGAAUCACUUCAGCUCAUUCAAACUGUGCUGUGAAACAAACCAUGAUCUCUUCAUCUUUAGUGUUGCUUCUGGCAGUGGUAUCCUGUAUUGAUUCAUAUGAAUUCACUCAGCCUGAGUCUCUGACUGUCCGUCCUGAUGCCACUCUGACUAUCAACUGUAAAGUCUCCUAUUCAGUUACAAGCUACGUUACAGCCUGGGUUCGUCAGCCUGCAGGAAAAGCUCUGGAGUGGAUUGGAGUGAUGUGGACUGAUGGAAGCUUAGCCUACAAGGAUUCCCUGAAGAACAGGUUCAGCAUCACCAGAGACACUUCCAGUGACACAGUAACACUGCAAGGAAAGAACAUGCAAGCUGAAGACACAGCUGUGUAUUAUUGUGCCAAACUCACUGUGUCAAACUAUUUCGACUACUGGGGGGCAGGAACCAAAGUCACCGUUUCCUCAGCUCAACCAUCUGCACCAAAGUCAAUCUUCGGCUUGUCUCAGUGUACUUCUGAUUCUGAUGGGUUCCUCACUAUCGGCUGCUUGGCAAGAGGUUUCUCACCUGCGGACUCGCUUACUUUCAAAUGGAAGGAUUCUGCUAAAAAAGAGUUGAGUGGUUUUGUGCAGUAUCCGGCGUUUGGACCCGAUGGAGAUUAUACCCAAAUCAGCCAUCUGCGCGUGAGGAAAAGUGAUUGGGAUCCUAAAAAUCCUUACACAUGCGAAGCUUCAAGUUUUGGAGUCACUAAAGAAACUCCUCUUGCUCCAUCACCCCCACCACCAGAUCAGCGUGCUGAUGUGUACUUAACAGUACCUACAAAACCGGAUUUAGACAAUGGAACUGCAACCUUCAUGUGUUUAGCCCAGCGGUUUUCACCUAAAACAUAUGCGUUUAAGUGGUUUCAGGAUGGUCAGGAGGUGACAGAUGAAAUAGACAAAUAUGAAAAAAGUGAGAAGAAAGGCUCAAUAACUGAAUACAGUGCCAUAAGCAUUUUGCAAAUCAGUGCCAACAAAUGGCAGCCAAACAGCAAAAUUAAGUGUGAGUUUGUGCACAAGGCAGGAAGUGAAGAUAUUGAGGCACAAUAUGCAGCUCCUAUUCAAGACUGCACCGAUAUUGCUGUUGAUAUAGUGCCUCCCUCCCUUGAAGACAUGCUGAAAAAUAGACAAGGAGUGCUGAAGUGCAAAGCUUCAGCAGACAAUCCAGGUUUCACCAAAAUAACAAUAGAAGCGAAUAAUAAUAUCAUCGCUGAAGCAACAGUAACGGAAAACUUAAAAGUUGUGGAACUUGACGCCCCGAUUGGCUAUGAGGAAUGGAGCAAUGGCACUGAAUUUGCAUGCACCGUUGAACACAAAGAACUAGCAGAGCCCAAGCGAACUAAGUUCAUCAGAGAAAAUGGUAAAGAACCCAAGAGACCCUCUGUUUACAUGUUAGCACCCCCAGAGCACAAAGAGGGUGACAACAUGACCCUGACAUGUUAUUUGAAGAACUUCUAUCCCAAAGAGGUGUUUGUGUCUUGGCUUGCUGAUGAUGAACCUGUGACUCUUGGGUACAGUUACAAUACUAGCCUGCCUGUUCAGAAUGAUAAAUACUUCUCCAUCUACAGUCAGCUAACAGUUAAUUAUUCAGAGUGGAAGAGCGGUACAGUGUUCAGUUGUGUCGUGUACCAUGAAAGCAUUGAUGAAAAAAUGCGCGUACUGACAAGAUCUAUUGAUGAUAAUAUUGAUAAGGCAGGUGUCAUUAAUCUAAGUAUGAAUACCCCUGCAUCUUGCAAGGAGUAGAGCAUUGUUUAUGUGGUGUCUUCCUGUUACGCUUGUUAAAUGUUCAUCUUGUGUUCUUUCCUUUUUUUCUUCCUGUUCUUGAGUUACAUGUCCAUGUUUGUAAUUGUGUUGGUCUUUAAUGUUUGUUGCUCCUUGCUUUCAUGCAUAUUACAUUUAGGAAAAGACUAAUAAAAAAGAAACAAAGCAUAA